GCAGGACUACAAUCUUAGCAUGCACCAUUCUCAGGGACAAUGCGUGUCACUGGAGGAAGAGACCGGGCUGUGUGCCCCUCCCUAGGAUUGCUGGAAGAUGUAAUCUCAUAAACACUCCCAACCCUUUGGUCAAAGGGCUACAGGACUACAAUCCCAGCAUGCGCCAGGCUCCAGGGCGAGGCGCAGACCUGGAAGAAGGGUCAGAGUGGUACGCGUCCCACCUGAUAUGCUGGGAGCUGUAGUCCGUUAACUACUCUCAGCCUGUUUGUCGAUAGUCUUCAGAACUAUAAUCCCAGCAUGUACCGGGAUCCGGGGUGCAUAGCCCUGGAGGGAGGGGCAGAGCGGUGUGGACUUCCCAGAGUCCAAAGCACUGCUGAGUUCUGAUGCCAUGCCGACUCUUUGCAAGGAUAGGUUCCUUCCAGAGCAGUACGUCUUCUGCAGCCCAGGGCACUGCCUUCUUUCCUAAACUGCUGUGGAAACUUUCCUGAUGUCCGAGACACUGUCCAUUGUGACGCAGCCCUCUUUUUUCUCUAGCCAGAGCACGCACUGAACCGUUUUAGAGAUAAAUAUUCCACCUGGCCUGCUUGUGAUCAGCUUCAGAGCUCUGCAGAUUGUGACAAGGACUGUGGCUUCCUGGAAAUGUCACUCUCAAAGUCGCCUUUUUCACGAAUGUGAAAGUCUAGGCAUCAGAAAGGUUAAUUAUUGGGUUGCACAAAAUCUGCUAAGAGCAAAGGAGAAAACCCCAUUUCCGAGGCGUGAGUCUUGUGAGCCAUUUUCAUCAACCCGUUUAAGUGGACAAGCUCCAAAAUGCAACCUGAAGCUGCUGACUAUUUAGGCAUUUUACGCUUGAAAUCAAUAGUCUCAUCUCAAGUCAGGCCUGGCUUGCCAGUGGCUCAGAGCCACCAAUGGGACCUGUUACGUCAGGAACAGAUAGUUUUCCAGCUUUACCGUAGCAGCUUUUAAGAUGUGGAGCACUCGGGGUCAUUUGAAACCCGCUAUCUUCAGUAGGGACUUUUACUUCUAGAAAGCAUUUGCAUCUUGAUUUUAUCUGUCUUCAAGCUGACCCUUUGUUUAUUUUAAUAGUAAAAAACACAUUCCUGGGUGGAGAUUUAAGAUGCUAAUGAGACAUGCAAUGUAUGCACAGAUGUGUACAGCUACUGCACUUGUGCACCCAGAAGACCAGUCAGAACAUGCUUACUGUGACACUUCUUUCCACCUUCUUAUGAAUAAUCAUGCAAAACUCCCAUAAAGAGGGUUUCUCCAGCAAUAAUUAAUGCUGUCUCAAUUUUAUGAGCAGGCUGCCCUGGAAUCUCUUUCUCAGACUGUGUCGUCUAUUCUGCACUUAAUUUUCAAAAUAUCCUCUCUUUUUUGCAAUAAAUUAUUCUGUACUUCU